ACAGCAGUAGCCGCGGUAAUACGAAGGGGGCUAGCGUUGCUCGGAAUGACUGGGCGUAAAGGGCGCGUAGGCGGAUUGUUUAGUUAGGCGUGAAAUUCCUGGGCUUAACCUGGGGACUGCGCUUAAUACAGGCAGUCUAGAGUGAGGAAGAGGGUUGUGGAGUUCCCAGUGUAGAGGUGAAAUUCGUAGAUAUUGGGAAGAACACCGGUGGCGAAGGCGGCAACCUGGUCCUUGACUGACGCUGAGGCGCGAAAGCGUGGGGAGCAAACAGGAUUAGAUACCCCCGUAGUCCCUGUCUCUUAUAC
rnacentral:rRNA from 1 species